CGUAAGGGGCAAGCGUUGUCCGGAAUCACUGGGCGUAAAGCGCACGUAGGCGGUUUAGCAAGUCAGGGGUGUAAGCUCUAGGCUUAACCUAGAAAUUGCCUCUGAAACUACUUCACUUGAGUAUUAGAGGGGAAGCUGGAAUUCACGGUGUAGCGGUGAAAUGCGUAGAUAUCGUGGAGAACACCCGUGGCGAAGGCGGGCUUCUGGCUAAUUACUGACGCUGAGGUGCGAAAGCUAGGGGAGCGAACGGGAUUAGAUACCCCGGUAGUCCUAGCCGUAAACGAUGAGUACUAGGUGUGGGGAUUAACAUCUCCGUGCCGACGCCAACGCAUUAAGUACUCCGCCUGGGGACUACGGCCGCAAGGUUA
rnacentral:rRNA from 1 species